AAAACGACUCUCGGCAACGGAUAUCUCGGCUCUCGCAUCGAUGAAGAACGUAGCGAAAUGCGAUACUUGGUGUGAAUUGCAGAAUCCCGUGAACCAUCGAGUCUUUGAACGCAAGUUGCGCCCAAAGCCUUUUGGUUGAGGGCACGCCUGCCUGGGU
rnacentral:rRNA from 2 species